UCUCCGUUGGUGAACCAGCGGAGGGAUCAUUACCGAGUUUACAACUCCCAAACCCCUGUGAACAUACCAUUUGUUGCCUCGUCGGUGCCUGCUCCGGCAGCCCGCCAGAGGACCCAAACCCUUGAUUUUAUACAGUAUCUUCUGAGUAAAUGAUUAAAUAAAUCAAAACUUUCAACAACGGAUCUCUUGGUUCUG
rnacentral:misc_RNA from 1 species